rnacentral:rRNA from 1 species
UACGUAGGGUGCGAGCGUUGUCCGGAAUUAUUGGGCGUAAAGCGUGCGCAGGCGGCUUUGCAAGACAGAUGUGAAAUCCCCGGGCUCAACCUGGGAACUGCAUUUGUGACUGCAAGGCUAGAGUACGGCAGAGGGGGAUGGAAUUCCGCGUGUAGCAGUGAAAUGCGUAGAUAUGCGGAGGAACACCAAUGGCGAAGGCAAUCCCCUGGGCCUGUACUGACGCUCAUGCACGAAAGCGUGGGGAGCAAACAGG